UUGUGCCCUUGAGGCGUGGCUUCCGGAGCUAACGCGUUAAGUAGACCGCCUGGGGAGUACGGCCGCAAGGUUAAAACUCAAAUGAAUUGACGGGGGCCCGCACAAGCGGUGGAGCAUGUGGUUUAAUUCGAUGCAACGCGAAGAACCUUACCUGGUCUUGACAUCCACAGAAGAAUCCAGAGAUGGAUUUGUGCCUUCGGGAACUGUGAGACAGGUGCUGCAUGGCUGUCGUCAGCUCGUGUUGUGAAAUGUUGGGUUAAGUCCCGCAACGAGCGCAACCCUUAUCCUUUGUUGCCAGCGGUCCGGCCGGGAACUCAAAGGAGACUGCCAGUGAUAAACUGGAGGAAGGUGGGGAUGACGUCAAGUCAUCAUGGCCCUUACGACCAGGGCUACACACGUGCUACAAUGGCGCAUACAAAGAGAAGCGACCUCGCGAGAGCAAGCGGACCUCAUAAAGUGCGUCGUAGUCCGGAUUGGAGUCUGCAACUCGACUCCAUGAAGUCGGAAUCGCUAGUAAUCGUGGAUCAGAAUGCCACGGUGAAUACGUUCCCGGGCCUUGUACACACCGCCCGUCACACCAUGGGAGUGGGUUGCAAAAGAAGUAGGUAGCUUAACCUUCGGGAGGGCGCUUACCACUUUGUGAUUCAUGACUGGGGUGAAGUCGUAACAAGGUAACCGUAGGGGAACCUGC
rnacentral:rRNA from 1 species